rnacentral:rRNA from 1 species
AGAGUUUGAUUAUGGCUCAGAUUGAACGCUGGCGGCAGGCCUAACACAUGCAAGUCGAGCGGUAGAGAGAAGCUUGCUUCUCUUGAGAGCGGCGGACGGGUGAGUAAUGCCUAGGAAUCUGCCUGGUAGUGGGGGAUAACGUUCGGAAACGGACGCUAAUACCGCAUACGUCCUACGGGAGAAAGCAGGGGACCUUCGGGCCUUGCGCUAUCAGAUGAGCCUAGGUCGGAUUAGCUAGUUGGUGAGGUAAUGGCUCACCAAGGCGACGAUCCGUAACUGGUCUGAGAGGAUGAUCAGUCACACUGGAACUGAGACACGGUCCGGACUCCUACGGGAGGCAGCAGUGGGGAAUAUUGGACAAUGGGCGAAAGCCUGAUCCAGCCAUGCCGCGUGUGUGAAGAAGGUCUUCGGAUUGUAAAGCACUUUAAGUUGGGAGGAAGGGCAGUUACCUAAUACGUGAUUGCUUUGACGUUACCGACAGAAUAAGCACCGGCUAACUCUGUGCCAGCAGCCGCGGUAAU